UACGAAGGGUGCAAGCGUUGUUCGGAAUUAUUGGGCGUAAAGCGCGCGCAGGCGGGUCAGCAAGUCAGAUGUGAAAUCUCGGGGCUUAACCCCGAAAGUGCGUCUGAAACUACUAACCUAGAAUAUCGGAGAGGAAGAUGGAAUUUCGCAUGUAGGGGUAAAAUCCGUAGAGAUGCGAAGGAACACCAGAGGCGAAAGCGAUUUUCUGGACGAUUAUUGACGCUGAGGCGCGAAAGCGUGGGUAGCAAACAGG
rnacentral:rRNA from 1 species